rnacentral:lncRNA from 1 species
GUUUUGCUCUUCCCCUGGGGAGAGAAAAUGAAAUACUGUUACAUAUGCAGUAUGUAAAAACUUGUACAUCAAUCAGCUGGCUUUGUAGGCUACUUAAAUGGACCAGGAAAACUAGUGUUAAUCUCCAUCUCACUGUGCUUUCUUAUAGGAAAGGAGCCACGGGUGUUGAAGAAGGCUUGAUUUCAGGCACAGACAGCUCAGGCUUGCUCCUGGCAGGAUGAAGCAGAUCCCAGAUGUGCUUUGGGGGCAUGUGGCUCGAGGUAGCUCCUGCUCUCCCACCAACAAGAGGCCCUGCUGACCCGAUCCUUUGUGACUGCCUGGACACAGUACUAUUACCCGCGCUGGGACUUUGCUUGCUCUCAAUAUACCCUCAGGAGUAUCUGCAGAUCUACAUAAAUAUAUUUAUCCGGUGCUAGGCUGUGCCAUAUCGAGCAUGACUUUCAUCCUCUGGAUCUACAGACAUCAAGAGAGAUAGGAGGAUCCCCUUCCACGUCUGCAGCUUAUGGGGGUAGGUUUACUUUCUGUUUGUGUGUAUGGCAAAGGAGGAGGGCCUAUAGAGAGACCCUACAUUCCUGAUUACUGUUUAUUCAGAGCCAGUGAGGGGAUGACAUUUUUUCACCACAGUUCCAAUUUGCGUGCUGACGUUAAGUGAAAAAUAAAAUCAACUCUUCUUCCAGGAUAAAGGACCGAUAGCACAGAGGACAUUAGUGUUGCAUUUAGACUCAUAUAAAGUAGUUUUUAAUGAAAAAGCCUUACUGUAAAACAAACUUUUUCCUGGACACUAGUUUUCAGGGAGGAAGGAAGAAACAAGAAUGAGAAGACUAUUUCUGCAGAACAUCGAGAUAUUUCAUGAAUCACAUGCUCUUACUGUAAGUAAAAUUUUGAUAUCAGCCAUUAAAUUAGCAUGGCAGAAAGUUCUCAAGGUUAUUACAGUCUUUCUCUUCUUAAGUAAGAACUAUACUCUGCAGCAUUUAUAAUCAACCAAAUUAAAAGCUACCUAUGAUGUAGGAGGAAGAAGAGACAGCGAAAAGGAAGCAAUGAUGAAGAACUCAAGCAUGUGUUCCUUCAGACAUCUUUACAACUAAACAUCACUUAUUUAUCACUUCAUAAGCUCAAAUUGAGGGUACCUACUUUGCCACAGAAGCGGCCCUGGCAAGGAGUUUCAACUGACAGAACUCAGCUAGCAAAAGAAGAUAAACAGAGAAGUAAGACUGCCUGUUGCUGGUGUCAUUGGCAAACCAAGAUCUUGCUGCUCAACUGUUACGUGCUCAACAGGUAAAUCAAGCUUUUUUUUUUUUCCUAAUUUUCACAUUUUUCACUGUGAAAUAUAUCAUUCUGUAUUAAUGUUGUCCAUAAAAGAAGACAUUGCUUUUGUUAUGUUUCACGUUAGUGAUGAAAUUUCUACUCACUUCUGAGCUGAACUGGAAUUUAUUGGGAAAGUGACUUAGUUUGCAGAACAGAAAUUUAGUUAUGAUGCCCAAAAAAAAAGAGGAAAAAAUGUUAUUCUGGCUGUUGUCUUGAAAAUUUUUAAUCAUAGCAUCUCCAAGUACCUUGCAAACCAGAGUCAUAGUGUCACUUCCAAGUAACAGAGCAGGACAAAGGCAAAGCCAAAGGUACCCAGGUCUCCUCUGUAUUAGUCCGAUACUCUAUCUGGUAUUUCACAUUUCUAUCAAAGUAUCAUGAACAUAUGAAAUAUUCAAAAACAUACCAUGUUUUGUAUAUAUUUAUAUGUUCUCAAUUUUUAAGAAACAAUUUGUCUUUAGUGAAGACAUUCUCUAAGUUGUGGGGCAGGAAAUGUCGACACGAUUGAUUUAACAGCACAUUUAAUGAAAUAUAGUGCUCAGGUAAGAUUAGAAGCUGGAUUUAUUAGCAGUCCAGUGAGUAACAACGUUGUGAGUAUUGCCUUUUUAUAAGUUGUACUGAAAACGCAGGUAAGAUAGCAUUUUUAACACUGUUAACAGAGUUAACAGUUAAGAGAGGUGAGUGGAGUGAACCACGUUUACAGCAAGUGACGGUAAUCAGUGGCCUUAAAAGAUAGAAAUGUCAACUCAAAGGAUUAACUAGCACAAUUUAUGUAAAAUAGUAAAACUUCACAAAGUUAAAACUUGAUCUAAAUGGUAUACAGCUGCUAAAGAAAAAAGGAAAAAGAAAGAAAGAAAGAAAAAAAUCAAAAGCUUUACUGACCACCUUUUGAUUUUUUUUAAGGAUGCUUCAAUGGGUAUGAGCUCUUAGGAAAAAAAUACUGCAUUUUUGCCUGAAAAGUGCCGAUUUUAUUUUUAACACCUGUUAGUUAAGGCUUUAUUCAUAAACUUUAAGAAAGUUUUUUUCCAAAAGAGACAAAGUUCACAUUAGGAGCAAAAAGGCAUUCAGUUUUAUGUGUUGUUCUAUUGAUUUUUCUGUGUGAAAAUUGAAUUUGAACAGAGGGGGAAUUGCUUUUGUUAUUAUGUAUUUUUCUGAAACACAAUCAUAAAUUAUCUACCAGUUUAUAAUCUGACUUCUUACGAGUGCUUAU